ensembl:lncRNA
GCUGCAUAGCUUAGGCUAACUUAGGCUGGGAAUGCACAUUAAUAAACACACACACACACAUACACAUCAGGCAAGAAAGUGAUAUGGGAGUGAAUUAGCUUUGGGCAUUGGCAGAACAGAGGGGAAUGAUACACGGUGGCUCGGCAAAAAGCACUAUAUGCAAUUUAAUACCGGAGUUAUAAGAGGGGGAAAAAACAGAUAUGGUGGUGAAAGGACAGGGGGAUUGUGUGUAAGGAAGGACUCUGGGAUGAAGCAUGCAGCACCUCCCUAUGGAUUUCUUCUCAUUUUGUAUUCUGGGAAGCUCUUCCUUCAUUUCACCCUGGCAAAAACAACAGGAAUAAUGCCUGAACAGAAGAACAGGGGAGGGCAGUGGGAGGGAGCGCGGUGUCAGGCCGAGCGAGAGAGGGAAAUUAGGCUGAUUACCAUUUCAGCGCACACACACUUUCAGAAAUGUCAACACUAAAAGUUUAGAGUCAAUAGAAUUUAAUUUAAAAGAGGUUGCCAAGUCCUGCUUUCGCACAGAAAUGGGAUACCUUUGUAGUAUUGCCGUAGGCUGUUUUGUUUUUUCCUUAUGUCAAUUUUCAGGAAACACAAUACGCUCACGUAGGUGCACUAUAAACACUAUACGCUCACGUAGGUGCACUAUAAACACUAUACGCUCACGUAGGUGCACUAUAAACACUAUACGCUCACGUAGGUGCACUAUAAACACUAUACGCUCACGUAGGUGCACUAUAAACACUAUACGCUCAUGUAGGUGCACUAUAAACACUAUACGCUCACGUAGGUGCACUAUAAACACUAUACGCUCACGUAGGUGCAGUAUAAACACUAUACGCUCACGUAGGUGCACUAUAAACACUAUACGCUCACGUAGGUGCACUAUAAACACUAUACGCUCACGUAGGUGCAGUAUAAACACUAUACGCUCACGUAGGUGCACUAUAAACACUGCCAGAGGUCUAUUUUGCAUUGAAUCAGCACACACACACGCUUCAAACAUUCUUACUGAUGGGUAUUAAAAACUUACAGUCGCAUUAGAUAGGCGAGAGACCAGCACACUGUCUGAAUUACAGGAGGUGACUAUGGGGGUCAUUCGUUCCGUGGGGCAGUUUAUAAAAUGCCACUGAUGUUAAAUGUUUCACUUCCUCCCUCCCUUACGCUUAUUAAACCUCAGCCAUCGCUUCAGGACACAAAAAGUCAGACUGCCAGAGAGAUGAUGACUUUCUCUCUUCUUCUUUCCCGCGUCUCUCUCCAAAUCCUCUCCGUGACCCGGCCAGUGACUCUCUAAUCGACUCCUGACUGCUUUCCAGUCCAUUUGCAUUCUCUCUGACUCGACACAGAGGCUGUACUAAAGUCUAUGAAGACCCACACUCAGACGUUGUGCCAAGUCGAAUGAAAAUGUGAACUUUCUGAGCGGUUUUGAGGCGACGUGACGCCCGUCUGCUGUAAAUAAGACUCUGAGCGUAAUUAUGUAGUCGUUAAUGAAAAAUGAUGCGUAGAUAACAGUCGAUUAUGCGAGUACAGAAGAGUGGAGCAGAUUUACUUGUAUCAAAUCCGGCAGCAAAAGGAUGCCAGAGCCAGAGGUGAUAUAAAUCAGGGAAAGGCCAAGAUGAAAUUGUAAAGGGGUGCAAAAUUACUAAUAGGACCAGAGAGGCAAGCUGGGAUUUGACCCAGGAAUUUUGGAGUGACUUGUUCAUGAACUUAUCACUUUGUAGGGUUGGCCACAUGACUCCACCUAACUCCACCUGACUCCACAUGACACCCCAUGACUCCCCAUGACCACUUAACUCCACAUGACUCUACAUGACUCCCCAUGACUCUACAUGACUCCACCUGACUCUACAUGUCUCCCCAUGACUCCCCAUGACUCCACCUGACUCCACAUGACUCCACAUGUCUCCACAUGUCCCUACAUGACUCCACCUGACUCCACAUGACUCCACAUGACUCCACAUGUCUCCACAUGUCCCUACAUGACUCCACCUGACUCCACAUGACUCCCCAUGUCUCCCCAUGACUCCACAUGACUCCACAUGUCUCCACAUGUCCCUACAUGACUCCACCUGACUCCACAUGACUCCACAUGACUCCCCAUGACUCCACAUGUCUCUACAUGACUCCACCUGACUCCACAUGACUACACAUGACUCCACAUGUCUCCACAUGUCCCUACAUGACUCCACCUGACUCCACAUGACUCCACAUGACUCCAAAUGUCUCCACAUGUCUCCACAUGUCCCUACAUGAAUCCACCUGACUCCACAUGACUCCACAUGACUCCACAUGUCUCCACAUGUCUCCACAUGUCCCUACAUGACUCCACCUGACUCCACAUGACUCCACAUGACUCCACAUGUCUCCACCUGACUCCACCUGACUCCACAUGUCUCCACAUGUCUCCACAUGUCUCUACAUGUCUCCACAUGUCUCUACAUGACUCCACAUGACUCCACAUGCCAAAGUGUCCUUGACUAAGACACUGAACCCCAAGUUGCUCCCGAUGGCAAGCUAGAACCUUGCAUGGCAGCUCUGCUUCCAUUGGUGUGUGAGAGUGUGUGUGUGUGUGUGUGUGUGACAUACCACUUACCGCUGGCAUUCAAUUCAGCCGGCGGAAUGGAAAUCGACGUAUCGGACAUUUUCAAUCAGUAUAAACAAAUGAAUUAUUUUAUCACCGCAAGUCUGUUAUAAGAUGAGUCAGGACACAGUUGGGUUUCUGUGUGCAGAAUAUCGUGACUCUUUGUUUAGCUGCUGGUGAGUAGGACGAUAGGAAAUGGGAGGGGUGUGAGCAAACCCAUGCCUCAAGAUAACCAUCUCAGUGUUUCUCCGAAUAAACUAGGUUUCAAGUACUGACACACAGUUCCACCUCCGGUGUCAGCAGCAUUUCGAUGUGUUCCUGUGCUACUAUGAUGAAAUGUCACAUGUUCCGCAUUUAACGAGCCGCAUUUAACGUGACCGUGACGUGCUAUUUCGGUCUUUCUUGCUAGCCUGACACGCUGCACUAGCGUAGGAGUUCAGCUUUAAAAAAAUAAAACGGAGAAAUUUCUCCCUCCAUCUACCUCCGCUAGCUCCUCGACAACAUUGAGUUUCUCGACUCUGACUCAGCGAAAGGCGAGAAAAUGAGCACGUAACACUUUACAAUAACAGUACAUGAAUAAUCACACGCCAAUACCUGAAUUAAUACCAUCCAUCCAUCCUUACAUCUUCGAUAACGCUUAUCCUUUUCAGGGUCAUGGGGGAACCUGGAGCCUAUCCCAGGGAGCAUGGGGCACGAGGCGGGGUACACCCUGGACAGGGUGCCGAUCCAUCGCAGGGCACAAUCACAUACACACUCACACACCCGUUCAUACACUACGGACACUUUAGACACGCCAAUCAGCCUACCAUGCAUGUCUUUGGACUGGGGGAGGAAACCGGAGCACCCGGAGGAAACCCCCGCAGCACGGGGAGAACAUGCAGACUCCGCCCACACAGGGCCACGGUGGGAAUCGAACCCCCGACCCUGGAGGCGUGAGGCGAACAUGCUAAGGACCUGAAUUAAUACGUACAGUAAAUACGUCCUAAUGAUGCGAUAAGACAUGUACUAAUCACAAACGAACUAAUCACUAACCAUAACUAAAAUGAGAGUCUUAUGAACUUUCGGAGAAGGUUCGGAGAAGGUUAUUCGUGCUUUUAUCCCAUCGCGUUGAGAUUAUUGUAAUUCAUUGUACUCGGCUCUUCCUCGGUCAUCUCUUGCUCGUCUCCAGAUGGUUCAGAAUGCAGCUGCAAGGCUGUUCACCCCAAUUUUAGCACCGCUCCAUCGGCUCCCGGUCCAUUUUAGGAUCCGUUUUAAGAUUCUGCCGUGUGUUUUUAAAACUCUUAACGAUCGAGCUCCUUCUUAUCGCAAAGAUCUUCUUACACCACAUUCAGCUAGCAGAUUUUUUGGGAGGUUUCUUCUGUAUGUCCCUCGAUCCCGUUUAAAAACUAAGGCGGAUAGAGCUUUUUCAGUCGCCGCCUCUCGUUUAUCGAAUCAACUGCCACUGGACUUCUAUCUUGUUCUCAGACAGUUCAUAACAAGCUAGUGGGAGGUUUAAAGCUUGUGAAAUAGUCGGAUGUGCGUCGAAUGUAUUACGAAUGUUCCCCGCUAUAUAGUGUCUUGUCACUUUUGAUCAUCACAGGGCUGUACUGAACGAAUGGAAAUCAGGCUAAGCCGCAGUGCGGUGAGAAGGAUUUUCUCAUGAUGGAUGAACGUGGUGAAAAGUUCACCUAAUGUCUUCCAUUAGUUAGUGAGUAAUCUAGGUGUCUGCUUCGCUAAUAGCUCAUUAGCUGUUGUUCUUAGCUAAUGGUUAAUGGUUGUCUGAGUGCCGAGAGAGUGCUCGUCUGGCCGCGUGUCAGACGAAGGCUCCAGCUGGACCAGACUGACCUAGUUGCGUUGUUGAAAUUGAAGAAUUACUGCCUGGUAUAGCCGGAGAGCCGGGCGCUCUUGCAGGCGCAUAAGCGAGAGCUGCUACACAGGAAGAGAAAGCAAGUGCAUGUGUGUGUGUGUGUGUGUGUGUGUGUGUGUGUGUGUGUGUGUCAGCUACCAGGGGACUGUGAGAGUGCUGCUUAAAUAUGCAUGAAGGUUUGCAAUACCUGAAUGUUUUACAUUAUCCCCACCACCAAAAAAAUAAAAAUAAUAAUAAUAAUAAAAUAGAAACCUUGAGUAAACUCUGCAGAAUGGGAAAGAUUCCAGAGAUGUUUCUGCGUCUGCACAAGCGGCAUUAACAUCAAUAAAACAUUUGGACAUUCUUGUUUUUUUCAAAAAGUGCAACGCAAAGAGAAAGUGAGCUGAUCAGCAUAACGCUUGAAGGGACAGAGCGAAAGCAUAGCCAGGCGGCACCCGGUCGUCGCGGCACCCAGCCUGUCGUCUCCACGGUGACGGCGGAAAGGCCAAUCGCAUUUGACUGCAGGAGAGAUGAGGCAUCACUGGAGCCAUGCAGCGCUGAUGUACUUUAGCACGAUUGCUUUAUAGGGAGACUUUAUGAGUUCGGCUAACGAUGGAGCGAGAGAGAGAGAGAGAUAGAGAGAGAGAGCGAGAGAGUAAGAGAUUGAAUUUUCAUAACGUCUCCUCACUUCGCACGGUCCAAAUACGAAACGUCGAAAAAGACUCCACAACACCGACUUUAAUUCACUCCCAUCGCUUGCUUGACCUUUUUAAUCGCAGGCUCUUCAGGAGAGCGAGGCGGCGGAGGAACUGGACGACGGAAAGACAGACGACAACCGGGAUCAGCCUCUCCUUUUUUUUUUUCUCCAUGAAGCUCUAUCGAACCAUUGGAAGAAACCGGUAGGGGAGCCUUUGUGUGCUUUUCUGCUCAGAUCAGCACACUCACACGCCGAGUGAUAUACAGCUGGCUCGCGUAAGACAUGUCAGCUGCCCGGCGCACAGGAUUUAUCAAACGUCCGUGCUUGUUUUACACACACACACAUACACGGACAUAAAAUAUUUCACUUGGGUGAUGAUCGAGAGUUUAUGGAUUGUGAGAGGACAACGGAAAGAAAAAGAAUACGAAUGAACCCUGAGGGAGAGCCAAAUAAAACCAAAUGUACCUCGGAGCAAUUGUUUUCACUUUCAGCCCUGGGGCCAAAAGCUCAUAAUAAAUAAAAGCCAGAAGGAUUUCACAUCUGUUGGACCAUUCCAAUUAUACAAUACUUUGAUUACAGUUAUAUUUAAGUACAAUUAUAUAAUACUAACUAAUACUGCCAUGACACCAAGCUUGGGCGGCUGUGGCUCAGGUGGUAGAGCGGGCUGUCCACUAAUCGUAGUGUUGGCGGUUCAAUUCACACAUGACUCCAUAUGACUCCCCGUGACUCCACGUGACUCCCCGUGACUCCCCAUGACUCCCCAUGACUCCACAUGACUCCCCAUGACUCACCAUGUCUCCCCAUGACUCACCAUGUCUCCCCAUGACUCACCAUGUCUCCCCAUGACUCCCCAUGACUCACCAUGACUCCCCAUGACUCACCAUGACUCCCCAUGACUCCCCAUGACUCCACAUGAUUCCACAUGACUCCACAUGCCGAAAGAAGCGUCCUUGGGUAAGACACUGAACCCCAAGUCAGUCCCGAUGGCAAGUUAGCGCCUUGCAUGGCAGCUCUGCUACCAUUGGUGUGUGAGUGUGUGUGUGUGUGUGUGUGUGAAUGGGUGAAUGAGAGACAGUGUAAAGCACUUUAGAUAAAAGCGCUAUAUAAGUGCAGACCAUAUAAACGGUCUAGAGGUCGUUCAGGUCGACUACCCGUGCCUACGCCUAAAUUCUAGGUUUUGUCUGAUGGGCGAAAGGGACUUAAAUCGACACCUAGAAUGUUACAACAACCUCAGCGUUACGUUUUUGUGAUUAUCCUCAUCUAAUAUAUCCAAUAUAUCUAAUAUUUUCAACUCAGCUAAUUAUAAAGCUGUUUAUUGGCACAGGUCACAGAAAGCACUAAUGAGAUGUGUGGGGUUUCCAGCACUGGGACUGAGAAACACUGCCCUAGAUUCAGCUGCAACUAAGGCUGAGCGUUUGCUAAAAUCCCCAUCAAGGUUCAACUUUUUGGACAUGGUUUGUUUUUCAUAUGGUUCAGAUGCUUUCCCAUUUCAGCACGUUGUGUUCUUUGACUGGACCGGUCAUCUGACCCGUUCUGCUCUCCGGACCUGCCUGGUCCAUCCUGAUGCCCUACGUCUGGAUGGAGCUCUCAUCAACUGGAGGCUACAGCCUGGAGAUUGAUUAGGACGGUACCGCUUGAAGUACCAUGGAGAUGGUUUUGGACCUCAAUUCCACAUGGACGUUCUCGCUGUGGUUGCUGGGAUUGCAAUCACCACAUGCGGUUUUACUCUCAGGUUUCCUUUAAUGAACAGUGGACUAAUUCAAACAGACUUCAUAUAAAACCCAUAACGAACUUUCUUUUACUCUCACACUAUCCGUCGUUCCCCAGAUGAGGACGGGUUCCCGUCUGAGUCCGGUUCCUCUCAAGGUUUCUUCCUCAUAUCAUCUCAGGGAGUUUUUCCCUCGCCACCGUCACCACCGGCUCGCUCAAUAAGGAUAAACUCACACGCUUAAAAUCUCUAUCCUGUGUUUAUAGGUUUCUCUAAAGCUGCUUCGAGACGACGUCAGUUAUUAAAAGCGCUCUACAAAUCAAAUUGAAUGGAAUUUUCGAAGGACCACAAUUCGGUUGCUUGGAGUAAAAUUUCACACCCUAGAUUUGAUCAGAAAAUCAUCACAAAAUUCAUUUUGAGACCAAAGACUGUGAUUUCCCUUCCGCCGCCGUCUCUCACAGUGCCAUAGGAAGCAUGAUGUGAGAACAGAACUGUUGCAUUGUGUGUAAAUUUAGACUGAACUCCACCCACCACAGAGCAACGUUAUUAUAAAACAGCAGUUGUUAUAAAAACCCCUGGAAAUGUCAACAGCUCCUGGUUGUACAUAUGCGUGUACGUGCGUGCAAUCAGACAAGUGAGCAAGAGAUUUGACAGGACAAGACACAAGGUGAACAAAGGAGGGAAUAGGUGACUGUUUUUCAAGGUUACCUGUCAAAGCAAUGUUCAGAGGACUGGCACAUCCCAGAGUGCACUGGGGCAGAGCGUGAAGAAGCCUUGAAGGAUGCCAUAAUCGAGCCACACUCCGUCAUGCCAAGCUCUCUACUGCAGGUUCUUUGAAGGAACCUCCCGUCCAAUCAUAAACACACUUUCAGGAAGCAUUACAUCACCAGCAGCCAAUCGGGAGACGGCAAGUUCUCGCACAACAUGGAUUGGGGAAUUGGCACAAAAACGCACACGCCUGUUUCAACAGGGAUUUCAGAGGUUUCCACACACACUCGUGUGUAUGUGUGUGUAUGUGUGUGUGUGUGCGGAUAGGAAGUGCUCUGUAGGUCCAUUACUCAUACAAAUAUUACACAUUAUUAUUUAGUGUUCAAUUAAGUGUACCGUCUCCUUUGGGGUUCUUACUCAGCGCUAUGGCCCGUAUAAAGCACAAAAUACACGGCUUACUUUCUUUUCUUUUUUUUUUUAAUAAAAUGAAAUAAAAAGAGCUUACUUUGCGAUUUCACAAAAUGUGCGAGAGCGUACAUUUACCAAAGCUUGUUAUGCAAAUUAUAAGAGAUGACGUUUGACGAUUUUUAGCCACUUGAUUAGUACAAUUAGCUAGCUAGCUAACUUAGUUAAUAUCAGUCAUGAACAAAAUUGUGAAUGUUAUGCUAUAUUCUGAGGUAAAUUUACUAAGAAAAUUCUAGUAAGUCUUGUAUACUGUAAUCCCACCUAUGUCGAGGUCACAAGUGUAAGCUAGCACAACGACUCAGCUAGCGGUGUGUUAAACGUGAGCUGUUUAACUGUAAACUAGAUAGUUAUGUGCUUACAUUACCUCAGUAAAAUAUACAAAGUGAUCCAGUGGAGAUAGUUCAUCCUUUGCUGUAUAAUAACCGGCACGUGUUUCGUUCCUCGUAUACCACUACAACGCCCCUAGUCAGCGAGUUAGCGCUAACAUUACCUCAGUAAAAUAUAGAUUAGCGGUAGCGAGGAAUGAUUCGUGCUGUCCCGGUACUGAAAGGAUUCCCUGAUGUACGUGAACAAACAUUUCGACUUUGGCGCGAUAGUAGAACAUCACUAAUAGCGCUGCAUAACCAGCAGAGUGGAGGAAAGGGGUGGGGUCAGAAUGGCGCUAUUUGCAUAUCAUGAAUAAUAAUCGUGCUGGUAAGGAUUUCUAGUACUUUCCUGGGUUUUAAAAUGACUUGUUAGGAAAUAUGGAUUACUUCACAGGGUUACAGGGAACUUCUCAGUAUGAUAGCAACCUAGCUGAUGUAAUAUGCUCGUUCAGUGCAGGCGCACACACACACACACACACACGGAAACCAUUUUUAUUUUUGGAUAGCUCUUACAGUUUCUGAUAUAAUUAACCUGUAUGUGCGUGGUCAUGUUUUUAUAUGUCGGUUGGACGUGGUGUGAUUGUUGGCUCAGUAGUCAGUGCUCUGGACUGCAACCUUGUGGAGACAUUUGGCUAAAUAAAUAAAUAAAUAAGGUAAAGCGGCAGAAUAAUUCCUUGUGGUUCCUGAGGUUAGGGUUCAUUCUGUAAUUAUGAUGUCUUUGUAAGGUCCUCACAAGUGUGUGUGUGUGUGUGUGUGUGUGUG